AUUGAACGCUGGCGGCAGGCCUAACACAUGCAAGUCGAGCGAGCGGCGGACGGGUGAGUAAUGUCUGGGGACUGCCCGAUAGAGGGGGAUAACUACUGGAAACGGUAGCUAAUACCGCAUACCAUCGGAUAACCCAGAUGGGAUUAGCUAGUAGGUGGGGUAAUGGCUCACCUAGGCGACGAUCCCUAGCUGGUCUGAGAGGAUGAUCAGCCACAAUGGAACGGAGACACGGCCCAGACUCCUACGGAGGCAGCAGUGGGGAAUAUUGCACAAUGGGCGAAAGUCUGAUGGAGCAAUGCCGCGUGUGUGAAGAAGGUUUUCGGGUUGUAAAGUUCUUUUAGUAGGGAGGCGGUACCGACAGAGGAAGCAACGGCUAACUACGUGCCAGCAGCCGCGGUAAUUC
rnacentral:rRNA from 1 species